rnacentral:rRNA from 1 species
GAUGAACGCUGACAGAAUGCUUAACACAUGCAAGUCUACUUGAUUCUACUUCGGUAGUUGAUGGUGGCGGACGGGUGAGUAACGCGUAAAGAAUCUGCCCUUUAGUUCGGGAUAACCUUUGGAAACGAAGGAUAAUGCCGGAUAUUAUGGAGACGUCGCAUGACGAUUUCAUGAAAGCUAUACGCGCUAGAGGAGGACUUUGCGUCCCAUUAGUUAGUUGGUGAGGUAAUGGCUCACCAAGACCGCGAUGGGUAGCCGGCCUGAGAGGGUGAUCGGCCACAAGGGAACUGAGACACGGUCCUUACUCCUCCGGGAGGCAGCAGUGGGGAAUAUUGGACAAUGGGCCACAAGCCUGAUCCAGCAAUUCUGUGUGCACGAUGAAGGUCUUCGGAUUGUAAAGUGCUUUCAGUAGGGAAGAAAAAAAUGACGGUACCUACAGAAGAAGCGACGGCUAAAUAUGUGCCAGCCGCCGCGGUAACAC